GGUGUGGAAGCGCGGUAACGCGUGGAGCUGACGAAUACUAAUCGGUCGAGGACUUAUCCACA
rnacentral:rRNA from 2 species